CUGGCUGUGGCUAAGUGGAAGAGCAUCUGCUUUGCAUGCGGAUAGUCCUAGGUUCAGUUCCCAGUGUUACUGCCAGG
rnacentral:tRNA from 1 species